GGGGAUUUAGCUCAGUGGUAGAGCGCUUGCCUAGCCACCGCAAGGCCCUGGGUUCGGUCCCCAGCUCCG
rnacentral:tRNA from 1 species